rnacentral:tRNA from 1 species
GGGAAGGUAACUCAGUGGUAGAGUGCUUGCCUUGUAUGCAUGAGGCCCUGGGUUCAAUUCCUCAGCACCA